rnacentral:rRNA from 1 species
UACGUAGGUGGCAAGCGUUGUCCGGAUUUACUGGGCGUAAAGAGCGCGCAGGCGGUCGAGUAAGUCGAAUGUGAAAGCCCCCUGCUUAACUGGGGAGGGUCAUUCGAUACUGUUCGACUUGAAGGCAGGAGAGGGCAGCAGAAUUCCCGGUGUAGUGGUGAAAUGCGUAGAUAUCGGGAGGAAUACCAGUGGCGAAGGCGGCUGCCUGGCCUGUUCUUGACGCUGAGGCGCGAAAGCUGGGGGAGCAAACGGG